UGACCACAGCGCCGCCGCCGCUGCUCCCCGGACCUGAUCCGGACGGGAAUCAGGAGGAAACAGAAACAAUGCAAACAGAGACACAAACAGAACUGGAUGUUUCACACGGCGCGCACUACUGACGACUAAAGACGAGAAGAAACUGGGUUAGAAUAUUUUUUUGUACGAGGAAAAACCCUGGAGGACGUCGACUUUCCUGCUUUCUCCGCACAUGUGCAGGAUGGUAGAGAGGGGAGGGGCGUUUGAGCGUUCCUCGCCCGCAUCAGGACAUGAAACCGGACCCGACAGAUCCGGCUCCUGAUCCCAAACGUUUAAACACUGGAGGAGUCGCAGCUUCACUCACAAACACACACAGCUGUAUUGUUUUCGUGUUGGACACCGUUACCGUGGUGACGAUGUGCGACAGCUUCCUGUUGAUGUGUGAGGGAAUCGGUGAAGCCCGGCUGUCCUGAUGCCUUUUCCUCCCUGUAACUAAGAGAAGACUUUUAUAGAGGCCACAAAUUAAAUAGAUAAAUGACCAUUUUGUAAGAAUGAUUUAUAAUAAAAAAUAAACUCAUAUUUGAUUAUA